CAUGCAAGUCGGACGGUAGCACAGAGGAGCUUGCUCCUUGGGUGACGAGUGGCGGACGGGUGAGUAAUGUCUGGGGAUCUGCCCGAUAGAGGGGGAUAACCACUGGAAACGGUGGCUAAUACCGCAUAACGUCGCAAGACCAAAGAGGGGGACCUUCGGGCCUCUCACUAUCGGAUGAACCCAGAUGGGAUUAGCUAGUAGGCGGGGUAAUGGCCCACCUAGGCGACGAUCCCUAGCUGGUCUGAGAGGAUGACCAGCCACACUGGAACUGAGACACGGUCCAGACUCCUACGGGAGGCAGCAGUGGGGAAUAUUGCACAAUGGGCGCAAGCCUGAUGCAGCCAUGCCGCGUGUAUGAAGAAGGCCUUCGGGUUGUAAAGUACUUUCAGCGGGGAGGAAGGCGACGGGGUUAAUAACCCUGUCGAUUGACGUUACCCGCAGAAGAAGCACCGGCUAACUCC
rnacentral:rRNA from 1 species